rnacentral:rRNA from 1 species
GUAGGGAAUCUUGCGCAAUGGGCGAAAGCCUGACGCAGCCAUGCCGCGUGAAUGAUGAAGGUCUUAGGAUUGUAAAAUUCUUUCACCGGGGACGAUAAUGACGGUACCCGGAGAAGAAGCUCCGGCUAACUUCGUGCCAGCAGCCGCGGUAAUACGAAGGGGGCUAGCGUUGCUCGGAAUUACUGGGCGUAAAGGGCGCGUAGGCGGACAGUUUAGUCAGAGGUGAAAGCCCAGGGCUCAACCUUGGAAUAGCCUUUGAUACUGGCUGUCUUGAGUGCGGAAGAGGUGUGUGGAACUCCGAGUGUAGAGGUGAAAUUCGUAGAUAUUCGGAAGAACACCAGUGGCGAAGGCGACACACUGGCCCGUUACUGACGCUGAGGCGCGAAAGCGUGGGGAGCAAACAGGAUUAGAUACCCCGGUAGUCC